rfam:Bradyrhizobium erythrophlei strain GAS478 genome assembly, contig: Ga0132009_11
GGCAUGGGGGUCAGCGAUCCCCCCAUGAGGCGACAUGCCCAAGUAUCGCGUCCCGCUUGAGCGAGGGGCGCACGCGCAUG